rnacentral:rRNA from 1 species
AGUGCGGCGUGCCUAUACAUGCAAGUCGAGCGAAUGGAUUAAGAGCUUGCUCUUAUGAAGUUAGCGGCGGACGGGUGAGUAACACGUGGGUAACCUGCCCAUAAGACUGGGAUAACUCCGGGAAACCGGGGCUAAUACCGGAUAACAUUUUGAACCGCAUGGUUCGAAAUUGAAAGGCGGCUUCGGCUGUCACUUAUGGAUGGACCCGCGUCGCAUUAGCUAGUUGGUGAGGUAACGGCUCACCAAGGCAACGAUGCGUAGCCGACCUGAGAGGGUGAUCGGCCACACUGGGACUGAGACACGGCCCAGACUCCUACGGGAGGCAGCAGUAGGGAAUCUUCCGCAAUGGACGAAAGUCUGACGGAGCAACGCCGCGUGAGUGAUGAAGGCUUUCGGGUCGUAAAACUCUGUUGUUAGGGAAGAACAAGUGCUAGUUGAAUAAGCUGGCACCUUGACGGUACCUAACCAGAAAGCCACGGCUAACUACGUGCCAGCAGCCGCGGUAAUACGUAGGUGGCAAGCGUUAUCCGGAAUUAUUGGGCGUAAAGCGCGCGCAGGUGGUUUCUUAAGUCUGAUGUGAAAGCCCACGGCUCAACCGUGGAGGGUCAUUGGAAACUGGGAGACUUGAGUGCAGAAGAGGAAAGUGGAAUUCCAUGUGUAGCGGUGAAAUGCGUAGAGAUAUGGAGGAACACAAGUGGCGAAGGCGACUUUCUGGUCUGUAACUGACACUGAGCGCGAAAGCGUGGGGAGCAAACAGAUUAGAUACCCUGGUAGUCACGCCGUAAACGAUGAGUGCUAAAGGUGUUAGAGGGUUCCGCCU